rnacentral:rRNA from 1 species
UUAGAGUUUGAUCCUGGCUCAAGAUGAACGCUAGCGGCAGGCUUAACACAUGCAAGUCGAGGGGCAGCGUGUUGGAACUUUCGGGUUCUGAUGACGGCGACCGGCGCAAGGGUGCGUAACGCGUGAGCAACUUGCCCGUUUCAGGGGGAUAGCCGUUGGAAACGACGACUAAUACCCCAUGGUAUGUAUGUGAGGCAUCUCAUAUACAUUAAAGAAUUUCGGAAACGGAUAGGCUCGCGUGACAUUAGCUAGAUGGCGGGGUAACGGCCCACCAUGGCGGCGAUGUCUAGGGGUUCUGAGAGGAAGGUCCCCCACACUGGAACUGAGACACGGUCCAGACUCCUACGGGAGGCAGCAGUGAGGAAUAUUGGUCAAUGGUCGGGAGACUGAACCAGCCAUGCCGCGUGAAGGUGACGGCCCUAUGGGUCUUAAACUUCUUUUGUAAGGGAGCAAUAAGGAUUACGUGUAGUCUGAUGAGAGUACCUUACGAAUAAGCAUCGGCUAACUCCGUGCCAGCAGCCGCGGUAAUACGGGGGAUGCGAGCGUUAUCCGGAUUUAUUGGGUUUAAAGGGUGCGUAGGCGGUCUGUUAAGUCAGCGGUGAAAUUUAGGGGCUCAACCUCUACCGUGCCGUUGAUACUGGCGGACUAGAAUGCGGAUGCCGUUGGAGGAAUGUGUGGUGUAGCGGUGAAAUGCAUAGAUAUCACACAGAACACCGAUUGCGAAGGCAUCUGACGAAUCCGCUAUUGACGCUGAUGCACGAAAGCGUGGGGAUCAAACAGGAUUAGAUACCCUGGUAGUCCACGC